rnacentral:lncRNA from 1 species
GAGCAAAAUGGCAGUUUGUUUCUAGGCUCUUUCAUUGAAGGGGCUGAGUUAUUUGGCUGAAAUAUUAAGGAAUUCAGCCAGGGGCAUGGGCAGAGUAUGAAAAGUUUUGGCUUAAACAUAGCUUUUCAAAAGAAGGUGGAAAAACUAAAAACAGUAUUGUAUAAUGGGAAUGGAAGCUGUUGUCAGUGGUGCCUUCAGUGGUGCAUAAUAAGUGCUGCUCGCACCAUAGGUAACAGAGUUUUAACCUGCAGUUGACUGCAGCAAUAAAAUGUUCUUUUAGUACAAAUAUCAGAAUACAUUCAAAAGUCAUUAUUGACCCAUCCUAUGGAAUAUUCAUUUAUCCUCAGCCUACACAGUGCUUUAAUUAGAGGUGCAGGAAACAACCAAGGAACAAACUUGGUCUGGGGGUGUCCCUGGUGUUAUUCUCGUGGGCAUCUUCUAUGAGAGAUAAGGAGACAUAUGGAGAGUGAGAGGUGUGUAUCUGCCCUUCCUGUGUGCCAGCUGAUGUUAAUGUGAUGUACAUACCACUGUGACUCAGCAACAACAAACCUGCAAUUUCCGGCAGCCUUCAGACAUUUGACAUCAGAAUGACUCGGCAUCCAUACAGACAGCUGAAGAGUCCUUAGCACAAUUGCACCAGGAUAUCUCUAAAAGAAUUUAGUAGAAAUACUGUUAGUUUUCAAGGUCUCCUUUUCCUUUUAUUUAGCUAUUGCAGUAAUCUUCCUGGAACUGUUUCAAAAAUAAGUUACAGUCACACAGAGCUUAUUGCAGCUCCAGUACUCUUACAAAACAUUUUUGCAUCUUCUCUGAGAAAUUCUUAUCUCACUUUUUUUUAUACCAAUCCUUUGAUAUUAGGGCAUGGAUGCAUCAAGAACAUGGAGACCCUGGAGGAACUGCACCCACUUUUCUGUUGCUUUAAGGACCAGCUUCUCUCAGUUUUAUUUCUUAGACACUUUUGAUGGCCUACUGAAAAAAAAAUAAGCACAAAUACCCUAAGCAUCCACCAGUACACAUUAUCUGAAAUGGGUUGGGGAGGCAGAUACCAAAGAACAGCACAGAAACACUGAAUGGUUGACAUGGAAGAGACCCCUGGAGGCCACCUGGUUCUACCCUCUGCUCAAGCAAAUAUAUCCAAAGGAGAUUGCCCAGGACCGUGUACAUGUGUGUUUUGAAGAUGUCCAAGGAAGAAGACUCCAGUACCUCUCUGGGCAACCUGAGCCAGUGCUCCAUGAUGGUACGUUAAACUGCUUCCCGAUGUUCAGACAGAAUCUCCUGCAUUCAGGUUUGUGUUCAUUGUCACUUGUCCUCUCUCUGGAUACCUCUGAAAAGAGUCUGGCUCUG